GAAAAACACUCUUUAUAGGAGCACCAUUAGGGUUCUUCUUUCUCUCUUUACAAUUCGUGAUGCCAUUGGUUUUUGAUCUUUCACAAUGCGUGAUGCAUCGGUUCUCUCGCUUCCCCAAGGAUUUCGUGGCGAAUUAUUCUUUAUUCUUCAUUCAUCACUCUAUCUUUCUUUCCCUUUUCUGUCUUGUUUUACUUUCACAAUUGUAGCAGUUCAUAACUGUUUUGGAAACAAAAGAUGUUGCUGUGUUUUCAGAAGAAGCCAAGUCUUAUCAUCAACGAGAAGGAGGAUGAGUAUCAUGAAGAGGAAGCGCAAUAAUGCUGUUGAUGAGUCCCAUCGAUGCGUCGACGGUCAUAUUUUUACCUACAAGCCUCUCAUUUUUGAAGAAGCCAAGACUUAUCAUCAACUAGAAAGAGGAUGAAGAGGGUAUCUUUUUCUUUUUCUUGCAUGUUAUAAUGGGAUUUUUUUGGAAAAAAACGAAACUUUUCCACUGCAUUAUUAGUUAGUAAAUGGCAAUUCCUCAAGAAUCAAGAAGUUUCUAUUUUAGAGUUUCUUCGGUUUUGCUUUUUUAUUGUUAUUACAAGACAAGUUGAAGCUUUGGUGUUUUGAAAUUAAGCAAUGAUAUUAUUAUAAAUGUUUUAAAAUUUAGAUACAAAAGAAAAAAAAAUAGGGGGGCCUCUUUAAUUUUGCGGCGUGUUAAAGAACUCUUGUGUACUAUGGAAGUUGGGGCCUUGGGGGUGGUCAAGCCUUACACCUAUAUUGUCAAUUUUAGUAGAGUCAGUAUCAUCAAUUUAUUCUUGGUGGUUCUCAGGUGGUAAAGUAAUUCAUUAGUUGCGUUGUUAACAUGUUUUUCAUAAGUAUAGUGGAUUACUGAUUGUCAAUAUGCUAAUUUUCUUUCAUCUUUUUUCUCUGACACCCGUGAACUGUUUAUAUUUUCUUUUAUCUCUUGUGCUAUUAGGCAAACAAUGCAAAAUGUAUUUUUGGUAUUAUUGAUUGGCAAACUCUCUCAUCAAAGGAUCCUGAACUGUUUAUAUUUUUAAAAAACUGUAGUUGCAAUGUGAAUUUACUGAUUUAUAAUAUAGGGCCUUGCAAAAUGAAAAUAUUAUUGUACAUCAAUUGUUGAACUUGUUUACAUAUGUUGGGAUAAGCACUGUUGUAAUCAUAUUUUGUAUAGUUUUAUCACUAGUAUCUACACGUUACUUCUUGGCAUUUGUGUUCUAAGGUCGGUAAUCAAACACAGCUUCCAGCAACUGUGAUUUCAGUCUUAGCUAAGAAUUAUGGGUAAGCUAUUCUUUUGAUGAUCACUUCGUAAGCAUAUCUUCUAACUACAUAAAACAAUUCCUCUGCAUAUCUUUUAAAAAGUUCUUGUAUUUUUCAUUCGGAAAAAAAUUGUUUUAACAUUUGAAUUUGAAAAGAAUUUUGUGGGGUGAGUAUGUAACUAUUAAAAAAAAUGUUGGAUAUCAAUGUGACUAAAGUCAUUCGUGGGAUAAACAAAUUAGUUGAUCUGAUGGCAUGGUAGAACUUUGCGAUUAUAUGCAUGACUCUUUUGAACGUGUUAAAAGAAAUGUUAAUACACCCAAAUGUUUGGAAUGUUAUGAAACCUGGUAUGCAUGGCAUUCAUAACUCUGCCUAUGUAAAACUUUGUUGCAAAAAUUUUUACAUAGCCGGUUCCAAGCCCGGAUAAAAGAGGAGGAUGAAUGAUGGUACAACGUGGCUUUUAUGAUCUUGAAAAGAUCGAGAUACGAUAUAAUUGGACCCAAUUUGGAAAAAGGGUGAUAUACGUUGCUUUUAUGAUCUUGAAAAGAUCGAGAUAUGACAUACUUGAACCCAAUUUGAAAAAAAGGGUGAUAUACGGUUGCUUUUAUGAUGAAUGAUGGUAAACAUGGCUUUUAUGAUCUUGAAAAGAUCGAGAUACAACAUACUUGGACCCAAUUUGAAAUAAAGGAUGAUAUGCGUCCGCUUUUAUGAUAUGAGGAAAAAGGGGACGAGAUCUACUUGACCCAAAAAUUGAAAAUGUCCGUUGGAUGACAUGUGUGGCUUUUAUAAUCGGAAAAGAUGGAAAUACGUUGACCUUAGAAUCUGAAAUAAAAUGGUGUUAGCUUCUUUUGUUCGAGAGGAUUGUGAUAUCUAUACUUGACCCUAAAAUAAAUGGUGUUAGCUUCUUUUGUUCGAGAGGAUGGUGAUAUCUAUACUUGACCCUAAAGUUUAUAAUGUUUUGAUAUGAUAUACUGAAUUUAUGCUGGCGCUGGGAACAGAUUAUGUGGGCUUGAAUAUGGGAAGCAUGUUAGGGUGUUACAAUGACAGGGGUUUAACUGUUUAAGGGCUGUUUUUGAUGUAAAUCUAUGAUUGUGAAUGGAAUACUGCAAACUGCAGUAUAGAGGAGUAGGAGGAAUUCCUGUGGUGUAGACAACCUUUAGAGAUUGAUGUGUGGUUAUCAUGUGGAAGACACUGAAACUUGGAUAAGCAUAUCUUCUUUUUUUUUUUUUUUUUAUGGUCAAGAG